ACUCUUCAACUCCCCAGUUUCUUGUAGACUGUGUGGAUGUUUGGAUUCUGAGCGUUGCUGGCUCCUCGUGAGCGAAGCUCGUUCGUAAUACAUUAGCAUCUCUAAUUCGAACUCGGAUUGACUCAGUGUAAUAGACUAUUCGCUGAGGACACUAGUAAUAGUGGCCGUGUUCAAUACAAGAGAAGCUUCUAGCCCCUCUAGUCACUUUUGA
rnacentral:misc_RNA from 1 species